rnacentral:rRNA from 1 species
GACGAACCGUGCGAACGUUGUUCGGAAUCACUGGGCUUAAAGGGCGCGUAGGCGGGCAUGCAAGUCUGCGGUGAAAUCCUCCGGCUCAACCGGAGAAGUGCCGUGGAUACUGCGUGCCUCGAGGAGGGUAGGGGCGUCUGGAACGUUGGGUGGAGCGGUGAAAUGCGUAGAUAUCGGGAGGAACACCGGUGGCGAAAGCGGCGCACUGGACCACAACUGACGCUGAGGCGCGAAAGCUAGGGGAGCAAACAGG